rnacentral:rRNA from 1 species
GACGAACGCUGGCGGCGUGCUUAACACAUGCAAGUCGAACGGAAAGGCCCUGCUUUUGUGGGGUGCUCGAGUGGCGAACGGGUGAGUAACACGUGAGUAACCUGCCCUUGACUUUGGGAUAACUUCAGGAAACUGGGGCUAAUACCGGAUAGGAGCUCCUGCUGCAUGGUGGGGGUUGGAAAGUUUCGGCGGUUGGGGAUGGACUCGCGGCUUAUCAGCUUGUUGGUGGGGUAGUGGCUUACCAAGGCUUUGACGGGUAGCCGGCCUGAGAGGGUGACCGGCCACAUUGGGACUGAGAUACGGCCCAGACUCCUACGGGAGGCAGCAGUGGGGAAUAUUGCACAAUGGGCGGAAGCCUGAUGCAGCAACGCCGCGUGCGGGAUGACGGCCUUCGGGUUGUAAACCGCUUUCGCCUGUGACGAAGCGUGAGUGACGGUAAUGGGUAAAGAAGCACCGGCUAACUACGUGCCAGCAGCCGCGGUGAUACGUAGGGUGCGAGCGUUGUCCGGAUUUAUUGGGCGUAAAGGGCUCGUAGGUGGUUGAUCGCGUCGGAAGUGUAAUCUUGGGGCUUAACCCUGAGCGUGCUUUCGAUACGGGUUGACUUGAGGAAGGUAGGGGAGAAUGGAAUUCCUGGUGGAGCGGUGGAAUGCGCAGAUAUCAGGAGGAACACCAGUGGCGAAGGCGGUUCUCUGGGCCUUUCCUGACGCUGAGGAGCGAAAGCGUGGGGAGCGAACAGGCUUAGAUACCCUGGUAGUCCACGCUGUAAACGGUGGGUACUAGGUGUGGGGUCCAUUCCACGGGUUCCGUACCGUAGCUAACGCUUUAAGUACCCCGCCUGGGGAGUACGGCCGCAAAGCUAAAACUCAAAGGAAUUGACGGGGCCCCGCACAAGCGGCGGAGCAUGCGGAUUAAUUCGAUGCAACGCGUAGAACCUUACCUGGGUUUGACAUGGAUCGGGAGUGCUCAGAGAUGGGUGUGCCUCUUUUGGGGUCGGUUCACAGGUGGUGCAUGGCUGUCGUCAGCUCGUGUCGUGAGAUGUUGGGUUAAGUCCCGCAACGAGCGCAACCCUUGUUCACUGUUGCCAGCACGUUAUGGUGGGGACUCAGUGGAGACCGCCGGGGUCAACUCGGAGGAAGGUGGGGAUGGCGUCAAGUCAUCAUGCCCCUUAUGUCCAGGGCUUCACGCAUGCUACAAUGGCUGGUACAGAGAGUGGCGAGCCUGUGAGGGUGAGCGAAUCUCGGAAAGCCGGUCUCAGUUCGGAUUGGGGUCUGCAACUCGACCUCAUGAAGUCGGAGUCGCUAGUAAUCGCAGAUCAGCAACGCUGCGGUGAAUACGUUCCCGGG